CAUAACAUAAUGUUUAAUAAAUAAUUGUAGAGACUUAAACUAUUAUGGUAUUUAUGUCUCUGAUGUAUGCGUUUUAACAUUUUCCAUAAAAAAAGGACCAGAUUUUCUGUAAUAUUAUAUAAUUUUUUUUAUUCAUUUCCACCACAGUAUGCCAAAUUUUGUUAUGACAAAAAAUUCUUGAACUAUGGGUACUGCAUGUUUUAUAAGAACAAAUUUGCCAAUUUUCACAGGAUACCGCGUGGUUCAAACUAAAGGAAAUGUUGUCUAGAUCGUAGAAAAUUUGUUUGCAUCUGGACAUUUCCUCUUUAAGGCAUCAACUUGAUUGGCUUGAAAAAAAAUACGACCAAUUGUAUGCACUUUGGGAUGACAAAUUUCCAAAACAACAGAUUAUUUUUGUAUUAUGCGAUGUCACAAUUGUUCAUAUUACAAUGUAGGUACCUCAAUGGAAAAUAAAAUUCAAAAUUGUAUGAAAUUGCCAUAAAUAUAUUAAUAUACAUAUAUCAAACAUCGUUCCCAGCAUGAUUCUACAUUGGUUCUGCUUUAAGAAAUAAUAUAAACACACACAUUCUGACGACUAGAUGUAAAUUCAUUAGAUUUGUAAGUGUUUGCGUCGCUUGUCCCGCACCCAGUUCCACCAAAGAGUUGUUUCAGCCUGAUUUCCCUUUCACACUGGAAAGAUAACUGUAAAAUAUUUAAUGUACUCAAUGGCACUUUCGCGAUGCUCAACGAGAACAGUAAUCUAUUUUUUUGAUUUUUUUGGUUAUAUAGAAACAAUUAACCAUGAAACUCCUCCCAAAGGGAUACAUUGUCAUGUCAUCUAUAAAUAAACCGAUUGUUUUGCCAUGACUGUCUUUACUGGCUUUCGGCUUUUUGUUUAGGGAUCCAAAACGAGUUCAUCAAGGAAUAAACAUUAUUUGUGUCUUUAAUAUUUAGUCAGUGCAUGAAUGGAACACAUAAAAAAAACCGUACUUUCAAUGAAAAACAAACAUUUCCAAUACUGAGGUCGAUGCUUUUUCUACAUUUAAAUCUGUAAUUUCAAAAUAUUUUUACCUAUUUCUAUUACAAGUGCGCUUACGUAUGUAACAUUUGAGGUUUCAGUGAAAAAUGAUACCCACACUUUAUACAUGUCAUGCAUCCAAAGCGCUUUCCUGGAUUUACCUGCACCAGGAACGCUUAACGCGAAUAUUUGAAAGCCAAAGCUGAAUUAAAACCGAAACAGUUGAAAAGCUAUUUGCCAAAAAAGGGACAUACAAAUAAAAGCCAAAUCCAUCUAAAGCCAACUUUGCAUGGGGAUUUAUACCUAAGUUGCUCAAAAAUUGCAAAAAAAAUAAACGGACAAUUUAAGAAAGGUUUGUCCAAAAAAUGAAAUUAACAUGUUAUAAAUUGCAUAAAUGAUGUUAUAACCGAAGUAUUGACUUCUUAAGGGAUGAUACCCUUGGUGUCUGAUAGUCCAGCAGCAACAGUAUCGACCCAUGCAGUGCUGUAGAAAAUGAAAACAGUCCUUUAUAAAAUUCAUGCGUCCAUAGCGCUCUUUUCGAUUUACCUUCAUCAGGCUAUAUAUAAAUGUAAGUUGUAUGUACACUACGUGAUUAUAAAACAUGUGUAACAGUAAUACACAUAAACAUUAUGUAAUAGUAUAUAUUAUAUAACCUUGUACCUAUUUUUUUACAAACAACGUAGAGAACUAGAAGUUAAUCUUAAUCAUGACUGUACCAAUAAAUGAUGAACACCUAGAAACAGGACACGAAUAUAAUGUAACAUACAACGAUGAUGACAAUUCCGAUGCCCAACAUGAUCAGUGUACUAAUGAUGAGAAGUCGCAAACCUUAACCUCAACUAAUACGGUAAACAUUGUCGUUAAACAAAAGACAAUAGAAUCCAACUAUGCCGUGCUUGUUACUAUAGUUUCUUGUGUCAUGGCUAUUGUCAAAACAGUUCAAAGUGAGUUUAUGGAUAUAUUCGAAAAACAUAUGGAUAGUCACAGUUUGAUUCAUGAUCAUCAUAAUAAAAUGACAUGGAUGACAUUGAAGUCAGAAAAAGAUUAUUUCAUGCCGAAAUGUAAAGCAUGGCUGAACAGAUUUGUGAGAUCAUUUCAUUUUUAUCCGAAAACGUUUUUCAAGACGUAUUUAUUGGACCCUGAGGAAUAUAACAAAUUUGUUGAUCAACAGCAAUCAAAACAAUCCAGUUUUUUAAAGGAAUCUAUGCAGUUUGAGUGGUGUAGAUUAUCAAGUUUUGCAUCUUAUCCAAACACAAAUAUUUCAGUAAUAAGGCUGGCCAAAGCUGGAUAUUACUAUGAAGGACACGGAGACGAAGUUAUCUGUUAUUUUUGCGGGUCAAAACAUCAAUACUGGAAAUCAACAGAUGAUCCAACAGGAAUUCACAAGGAAAAGGCACCAAGAUGUUCUUUUGUUAUAAAACAUUUAAGUGCUUGUUCAAACCAAGAUCAUGUGUGGACUAUUUCUACAAAUGGUGGAGCAGAAUCUUCCACAGGCGCGUGUGGUAAUUCAGCAGAUGCCGAAAAUUUAUCAGUAGUCAGUGAGAAACAUUGUGAAUCUGUAGAGGAACAACAUGCAAUUGAAGCAAGAGUUAAUCAUGAAAAUACGUUUACAGUUGACAGAAAUCAUGAACAUAUCGUUCCAGUUGACAGAAGUCAUGAACAUAUCGUUACAGUUGACAGAAAUCAUGGACAUAUCGUUCCAGGUGCCCAGGAUACAACGUCAUCUCGAUAUAGUGAACUAACCGAAAACCAAGUGAAUAAUGUUUCUGAUAGGCAGACGGAAAGCAGUGAAGCCAUUUCAUCACAGAGAAGAACGAACCAGACGCAAACCGUGUACUCUAGAAACGACACAACUAGUCUCAUCCGUAUACCAGAUACAAAUGUUGCCCCACAACGAACAUUAACGCAAACAGUUAUAAAUUCGGCGCGAUCUUCGGCUUCAAAUUCAGCACCAAUGAACAUCGGCAUUUGUCUUGAAAAACCAAAAUAUCCUAAAUAUGCUAUAAAGACAACUCGAUUUUCAUCAUUUAAUAACUGGCCUUUAUACCUGUCUCAAACACCAGAGGAUCUGGUAAAUGCAGGUUUCUUUUAUACUGGAAAUUGGAGAUAUAAGACGGAAAGGCAGUUUCCAAAUUUAAACGAUAAAAGACAUGAUCUUAAUUGAGCAGGUACCGAGGAUCACUGCAGAUGUUUCUUUUGUGGAGGUGGUUUAAGACGAUGGGAGGAAGGAGAUUUGCCUUGGACAGAACAUGCUCGAUGGUAUCCCAUGUGUCCAUUUGGUAUACAAUGUAAGGGGAAAAAGUUCAUUGAUGAUGUACAGCGAGGGACAAAUCCUGAAAUUGCUGAAAAUGUGACAGAAAACAAACAGAAGAAAGCGUCUAUUGGAAUAAAUGGUUACAUAAAUAACCAAGCAGUGCAAACUAUUCUUGAAUUUGGAUACGAAUCUGAUGUUGUAAAGACAGCUUAUACACGAUUGAAAGAAUCUGGAAUACAUGAUAUUACGACUUCACUUUUGCUAGAUACCAUUUAUGAAAAAGAAGCGAGUGAAAAUCACCAUGCAACCUCUGACCUGACAAUUCCUAGUCAUAAUACAACUCCAGAAAAAGAAGCAGACGAUAAAGAACAUUCCAACAAAACCCCAGAAAACAUUGAGAAAAUUGACCCAACACUGGAAUCAUCUAUAAGGAGCCUCGAGGAAGAAAACAGGAAUUUAAAAGAUCAACAAACCUGUAAGAUUUGUCUAGACGAACCUGUGGCCAUCGUUUUUCUCCCAUGUGGUCACAUGGCUGCAUGCAUUAACUGUGCUCCAGCUUUAAGAAGAUGUCCAAUCUGUAGAGCAUUUAUUAAAGGAACUGUUAAAGCUAUAAUCUGCUGAAAUGUUUUUGAUUGUAAAAUAUGUAUGAAUAAAGAACUGUUGGGAAAAAUGUUAAAUUCUAAUUUUCAUAUUGUAAUGUAACGACUAGUUUACCAACGAAGGCGGAAUGACGGUAGAGCUGAAAACCAUAUGGAAAGAUAAGGACGAACUGGGAAGCGUUGAACCCGAUAUCAAAUACAAGUUUAAAUUAUCAUAUGAACUUAGUAUUAUGAUAAGCAGGAUGUUUAAUUUUAUUUAUAUUAUUUGUUAUUUCAAUAUUCAUUACAUUUUGCUUUAUUUAUAACUGGUGCAUUAUGUACAGUUAGUUUGCAUAAUUGUAUUAUCAUUGUUUCAAUGUACAUUUAUGUUGUAUAAAAUAAAAACGUAAAGUGUCCUCUUCUACAAUUUUGUGACAACAUACAUGUAUAAACUGCAUGAGGCAACUUAUUUUCUGAAAUGAAUAGGGCAUAUGCAUUUUCUAACUGUUAAUGUAUUCAAAUUGAGAUUUAUCAGUGGGAUGUUUUUAUAUAUACAUUUUAAGAACACUUUUACAAUAAGGUUUUGAUGUUAUACAAUGUUAUUGUUUCGGAAUAAAAUCAUUGGCUCUUA